CUUUGUCUCUUUGAGUGAAAGCAGAAACUAUCAGAUGAUUUUUAGCAGAGAAGUGACAUGCUUUGACAUAUUUUAACAAGUUUAUUCUGGCUGCUGCAUUGAGAAUAGACAAAGAGCAGAAGCCAAGAAACUGUUAGGAGGAUAUUUCAGUAAUAUAGAUAACAGGAUGAUGAUUUGAUUCAAGAGAGGUAGCAGACAGUAUUGUGAGAAGUGGUCACAUUCUGAUUAUGUUUUGAAGGAAUUUCAAAUAGAAAGAGAGGAAUUAAGAAUGAUACCAAGAUUUCUGGUCUGAUCAGUGGAAGAAUUGAGUUAUCCAUCCUUGAGAUAUGGAAAGAGUUAUAAGAAAGGGUUUUGGUACAGACUAUCAGGUGUUCAGUUUAUGACAUGUUAAUUUGGCAUGCCUAGUAGAUGUAUAAUGUAGAUUUCCAAUAGGCAGCUGAAUAUAUAUGUUUGGAGUUUAGGGGAGUGAUCUAAGCUGGAGAGAUAUGUUUAAGAAUCAUUAAUAUAAUUUGAAGCCAUUGAGAUUAGAUGCAAUUACCCUGGGAGAGAAUGAAGAUGAGUUCCAAAUUUAAAAGUCAAGCUGGGCAUGGUGGCAUGUGCUAUAGUCCCAGCUACUCAGGAAGCUGAGGUAGAAAGGUCACUGGAGCCCAGUUCAAGGCUAGCCUAAGCAACACAGCAAGACCUUGUCUCAAAAACAGACAGAAAAAAAAAUAAUGAAAACAAAAAGUCUUCCAAAUGUAAAAGUCAGGUUGAUGAAAAAGGACCAGUCAGAGACUGGGAAGGAGCAUCUAUAAAGCUGGGAGGAAAAUCAGGCAAAUGUAUUGUUUGAAUGACAAAAGAAGAAUGUUUAAAGAUUGAGACAAUGAACAACUCUGUCAAAUGCUGCUGAGAGAUGAAGUAAAAAUGAGGACAGAAAAUGGAUCCUUGAUUUAACAACAUGGUAGUCAUUGGUGACUUAGAGAACUGUUCUGUGGAGUGGUAAAGGUAACUGGAGUGGGUUUAAGAGAGAAUGGGAGGAGAGAAAUUUCAGACAGCAGUUUAGGCAAGGCUCUCAAGGAAUCUGGCUAUAAAGAAAUGGGGCACUGGUGGAUACAACUAGUAUGGAGGAAAUUAUUUAUAAUGACAAGGCAAGGUGAAGAGAGUUGCUAGAGCAAUACUUGUGAGCAGAGGUGGUGGCCUUUGUUAGGUGCAUGACCUAUUUACAAACAGUAAUAAAAGAGAUAGCAGGGUGCAUACACAGAGAUGCAGAGAUUACUUCAUUUCUUGCAGUGAAAUAAGCAGCAAGGUCCUCACCUGAGUGAGAAUAGGGGAAGAAAUAUUGGAGGUGGGAAAAGUAAAUGAAGUCUGAAAUAGUUGACAGAAGACUGGAAGAGAGAAUGGAUUAGGGACAUAUGAUUUUUGGGCAGCCUCUGGGGCUUACCUGAGGCAGGUCAAUGGCCAUGAAUAUAUAACAAGACCUGUCAGCAUAGGUGCACGUUUUUCCAGCUACAUUCAGCCUUAGGAUUAUGAGCAUGGCCCAAGCAGAUAAGAGGAUGUAUCCAUGGUUGUGAGUUUCCAAGAGUGUGAGAAAGUCCAAGGAGCAAGUGAGUUAGGUUCUACUAGCCUUGUAAAGAGCUAACUUAGAUUAAGCCCAGACUACAUUAUGUGCUAGCAAUUGAGUUAGGCCAUAGUGCAAACCAUUAUAUCCCAAAGCAGUUUCUAAACAUCUGGUUAUAGAUAGAAAGUUACUAUAAUUUGUAUAAGUAUUUCACAAUUUGUCCUGGUCCUGCCUAGAGACUCAGCAAUAAAAAUUACCCAACAGUUCUUGGCCAUUGAAGACUUUGAAACUAGGACAAAAUAAACUCAUUUUACUGUAAAAUAGCUGCAGAUCUUCCUUUAAGAAAUUAAAUAGUACCAUAGAAACACUUUGUGCUUUUUUUUUUUUUUUGUAGACCUUGAUUUUCUUCUUAAAACAAAGUAAAAAUAAUGACAAGCAUUUUAGUAGCAGGGGCCCAGCAGAAGACAGCUGCCUAAGUAGCAUGGUUUUAGGGAUGCUGAGAACAAUCCCUCUACAAACCAAUGCCCAUACCUGUUCACUGGGGCCUGAGGUGCCAACAGAGGUGCCCUUUGGCUUUAAGAAAGGGGUCAAAGCUGGCUGGGCGCAAUGGCUCACGCCUGUAAUCCCAGCACUUGGGAGGUCAAGCAGGUGGAUCACUUGAGCUCAGGAGUUCGAGACCAGCCUGGCCAUGUCUCUAAUAAAAAUACAAAAAUUAGCUGGGUGUGGUGGCAUGCACCUGUAAUCCCAGCUACUCAGGAGGCUGAGGCAUGAGGCUUGAACCCGGGAUGAGGCUGCACUGAGCCAAGUUCGUGCCACUGCACUCCAGCCUGGUGACAGAGUGAGACUGUCAAAAAAAAAAAAAAAAAAAAAAGAAAAGAAAAAAAGAAAGAGAUCAAAGUCUUCAGUGUCCACAGGAGCCAGCAGCAAACUCAUGGGGCAGAUGUGAAGUAUGUGUGUGCCUGGUGG
rnacentral:lncRNA from 1 species